rnacentral:rRNA from 1 species
CCAAUAGCGUAUAUUAAAGUUGUUGCAGUUAAAAAGCUCGUAGUUGAACUUCGGGGUUCACCCAUUGGUCAGGCUUAAUUGUCUGUACUGGUGAGAUGAGUCUCUACCUUCUGAGGAACUUUCAUGCCAUUUAUUUAGUGUGAUUGGAAAUCAGGACUGUUACUUUGAAAAAAUUAGAGUGUUUAAAGCAGGCUAACGUCUGAAUACAUUAGCAUGGAAU